UACGAAGGGGGCUAGCGUUGCUCGGAAUCACUGGGCGUAAAGGCGCACGUAGGCGGCUUCUUAAGUCAGGGGUGAAAUCCUGGAGCUCAACUCCAGAACCUGCCCUUGAUACUGAGGAGCUCGAGUCCGGAAGAGGUGAGUGGAACUGCGAGUGUAGAGGUGAAAUUCGUAGAUAUUCGCAAGAACACCAGUGGCGAAGGCGGCUCACUGGUCCGGUACUGACGCUGAGGUGCGAAAGCGUGGGGAGCAAACAGG
rnacentral:rRNA from 1 species